GCUACCUCUGCACAAUAACAAUGGAUAAUGAAAUAAAUGCUGAGCACUUUGGCUGGUUGGUUCUCAAAGCACUCUACAGACCACUCACACAGUAGUACAUUGAUUUUUCUCACCCUUGAAAUACAGCAAUCCUGUGUCAGAACGUGGCUGCCAUUUAACAGCACAUAGCAAAAUUACAAAGCAUUUAGAACAGGAAUUAAAACUCACUCUAAAAACAGCAGGGCAUUUUUAAGUUUUCAAAAUAUAAGAGUUAUCAAAUAUGGAAUAUGUCUGUCUUUUCUGAUCUAUGUCUAUCCUUGCUAAUUGACUUCAGAGCCAGAAAAGAGAUCUGCAGAAAAUGGCUAUAAUAUCAAUGCUGAGUCACAUAGCCAAGGGAUUUCUCUUUCUCUUCUGUAUCUUCUUUUUUUCUAGUACCAAACCGCUUAUGAUGUGCUUAUCUGCACAGUGAUACCAAUAGCUGAACCUGACCAAAGCAGGAGCUGUGAUCGUUGUGUUGUUGGCCAUGUUGAAGGGCUGAAGGUCAUACACAUGGCAGAAUCUUCCAACCCUGCCUGCAGGAGCUACUGGUAAAAGCAUUCAGGCAGGGUGAGGUGCAGAGCCUGAGCUUCCACUGGAUGUUGAUGGCUGCGAUACGCUUAUAGAGAAAGUACACUUUAUAAUUGGCAGCAAACAUCAG
ensembl:lncRNA